CUUGGGGGUGAUUUUGGGAAGUGUUGCUAAUCUGAGGAGUUUAGAAUAAAGGCAGGUGGGAACUAUGUUGGAUUUUCACAUGCUGUGAUAGAUCUCAGUGAUAUGAAAAACAGUGAUUCACCACCCCGCUGUUGUGCUUCAUUAUCCAGGAGAGAUUUUCUUUAAUAUUCUCCGCAGAAACUCUGAAAAUGGAUGAAACUUUAAAGCUGAAAGCCGCGAUGCCAACGUGUGUCAAAAACGAGACAGAUCUACAAGUUUAAAAUUCUAAACACAUUCACGUGAAGCAGAACUCAUGGACAUAGACAAUAACGGACAGAAGAUGUUUUCUUCACAUCUACUGGAAACGUUACUGGGCAUUCUCUGUGACCUUUUUCAUUCGACAGGGAGAGGAAUGCUGAGCUCCAGUUACUUUAAAUGGUGUCUUAUCUAUGUACUGGUGUCAUCUUUCACUGUAAUCCUGUCUGUGAUGUUAACCUGCAAGAUUUCAUGAUUAUUGUAAAAUAUAGAUCAUAAAAAGAAAACUUAGAAAAAAAUCUGCAAAAAUUAUUAAAAAAUAUGGUCCCAUAAAAACUUGAUUUAAACAAUAGGUAGCUUUUUGAUUACACAUUCCAUUUAAGCAUCCCUUUUUGACAGGCUGCCUACUUAUGCUCCAAACGUAAGGAGAAACGUGAUAUUAAAGUGUACUUGUCAGCAACAAAAACUUUUUAUAUAACGUAGAUAAUACUACUAUAUGUAUAUUUCAUAUACAUUGGUUAAAAAAUAUGUAUAUUUUUGUCCCUGCAGCUAUUGUCUGUGUGUCUCUG